CAUGCAGUCGAGGGGUAUUUAUCUUCGGAUAGAGAGACCGGCGCACGGGUGCGUAACGCGUAUGCAAUCUACCUUUUACAGAGGGAUAGCCCAGAGAAAUUUGGAUUAAUACCUCAUAGUAUGUGAGAAUGGCAUCAUUUUCACAUUAAAGUCACAACGGUAAAAGAUGAGCAUGCGUCCCAUUAGCUAGUUGGUAAGGUAACGGCUUACCAAGGCUACGAUGGGUAGGGGUCCUGAGAGGGAGAUCCCCCACACUGGUACUGAGACACGGACCAGACUCCUACGGGAGGCAGCAGUGAGGAAUAUUGGACAAUGGGCGCAAGCCUGAUCCAGCCAUGCCGCGUGCAGGAUGACGGUCCUAUGGAUUGUAAACUGCUUUUGCACAGGAAGAAACAACGCUACGUGUAGCGUCUUGACGGUACUGUGAGAAUAAGGAUCGGCUAACUCCGUGCCAGCAGCCGCGGUAAUACGGAGGAUCCAAGCGUUAUCCGGAAUCAUUGGGUUUAAAGGGUCCGUAGGCGGUUUAGUAAGUCAGUGGUGAAAGCCCAUCGCUCAACGGUGGAACGGCCAUUGAUACUGCUAGACUUGAAUUAUUAGGAAGUAACUAGAAUAUGUAGUGUAGCGGUGAAAUGCUUAGAGAUUACAUGGAAUACCAAUUGCGAAGGCAGGUUACUACUAAUGGAUUGACGCUGAUGGACGAAAGCGUGGGUAGCGAACAGGAUUAGAUACCCUGGUAGUCCACGCCGUAAACGAUGGAUACUAGCUGUUGGGAGCGAUCUCAGUGGCUAAGCGAAAGUGAUAAGUAUCCCACCUGGGGAGUACGUUCGCAAGAAUGAAACUCAAAGGAAUUGACGGGGGCCCGCACAAGCGGUGGAGCAUGUGGUUUAAUUCGAUGAUACGCGAGGAACCUUACCAAGGCUUAAAUGUAGAUUGACCG
rnacentral:rRNA from 1 species